UCAGAUGGAGCACUUAGAAAGAUGAUACCCAAAAUUAUCAUUUUCGGAUAUAAAGACAACGCUGUAUCAACAAAAAACUGAUUGCAACUUGCAAAACAUGCUGGAAGAAAAUUAGACGGAGGCGCAACAAUUUCCAACUUUGUUCAACAUUUGAAGCUCCACAAAGAACGGUUUUGACCCUUGCCUGUCCUGACUCUGAGCCCGCCUGCCUGACCACUCUGCCUACCCCUGACCUUGAGCCUACCUAUCGUCUUGUACCAUUUGGACUCUGACCUGGUUUAUAAACUCUCGCCUGUACCCAACCUGCCUUUUGCCUACCCCUUUUGUCAUAAUAAAUAUCGUAGCUCAACCA